GCCAACUGGUACUGGGAAAAAUCUCCAGAGCGCUGCAAAGGAGAGAACAGAAGUCAGUGAAGUCAGUGCUGUGAGGAGGAAACGGGAGCGUGAACGAGUGCAAGCCGUACCUCUGGAGGUGGCAGGGCUGGCAGAACAUACAUGUCGUCCACCUCAUCUCUCCUCACACUCGAGAGGCUGGGAAGAGGAUCCUUACUGUGACAGGAAAGAAACAUCUGAGAAUACAGUAAUUCUGGGAGAGGCUGGACGACUGCAACUCAUUUCACAUCGGAAUCCCUAGCAAGAGCCUGCAAAAGCUCCAAUACAUUCAAAACAGUGCUGCUCGGAUCCUCUUUUCGCUCCGCUGGCUUCCGUCUCCUUCAGAAUCCAGUACAAAAUCGCUCUCCUCACCCAUCACUGUAUUCAUGGCGAUGCCCCAGACUACAUCAAAGAACUCCUCUGCCACCAAUCAUCCAAAAGAAACCUCCACACUAAUAAUUGUCACCUCCUCCGCCUGCCCAGAACCAAGCUCCAGGUCAUGGGAGACUCAGCCGCCCCUCACAUCUGGAACUCCCUUCCUGACUCCUGAGAGCUCCACAGACAAUAAAACACUUUUUAAAAAAAGGCUUAAAGACCUUUCUUGUAAACAAACCUUGUAAGUAAACAUUUCCCUGAUAUUUAUACUUUACCUUUUUGUUUUGUUUUUAUCAUUUUCUAUCUUUUAUGUAGCACUUUGAGAUUUUGGAGAAACGAAAAGUGCAUUACAAAUAAAUGGAUUAUUAUUAAAACAA